ensembl:lncRNA LINC00960 long intergenic non-protein coding RNA 960
GCUCAAGUCCUGCUGCAUGAACUUUCUGAUGACUGCCUAUGUUCACUCAAGGCCUUUGGUCUCUACAAUUAGCAGGUGGCAAAGCCAGCCAGGCCUGUGUUCUUUCCUUUAGGGCAGUGAGUGCCCUCAGUCCCUGGCUGGGUCCAGAAAUGCCAUUCAGAAGUCAGGGAGUACAGUCAAAAAUUUUAGAAGUCCACUUGACAUUCUAUUGCAUUGCAGCUGAUCUGGCACUCAAACCACAAGACAUAGUUCUUCCUAUUCCUCCCUUCCUUUCCUAAAGGCAGGGUAGCCACCACCACCUCAGGCCACAGUGAGUACUGCCAGGCUACCACCAAUGUUCCCUUAAGGCCCAAAGCCUCUUGUCAGCUUGUGAUGAAUGCUGCCUGGCCUGGGACUUGCGUUUUCAGGACAAUGGGAUCCCUACUGGCCCUGGGCAGCUUCAUAAAUGCCAACCAAAAAUCAAGUCCUAGAAUCAGGGAUUCUGAAAGUUCGCUUGGUGCUCUACCCACCUCUGGCCUUGCUGGUACCUAAGGGGCAAGAAAAAGUCCCCUUUAAUUUUCCCUCUACUUUUCCCAAGAAGAAGGAGUUUUGCCUCUUAGCCACCACAGCUAGUAAUGUGCUGACCUCACCUAAAUCUAGCAAGUCUAUGAGGGUCAUCCAAGGCCCUUGAUGUAGUACCUGGGUAUGGCUGCUGGUUAUUCAGAGCCCAAAGGUUUUCAAGUUUGCAGGCGAUAAAUCCUGCCAGCACAUGGUUCUUUUCUUCAAGGCAGCAGGUUUUUUUCUGGCCCAGGGUGUGUCUAGGAAUGUCUAGGAGCCAGAGACUGGAAAGGAGGCUGCAGGAUUCUGACCAGUGCACUACCUUGCUGUGGCUGAGCUGGUGCCCAGGAUGAAAGACAAAGUACUCCCUAUUCUUUUCCUUCCUCUCCUCAAGCAGAAGGAUGGGGUCCCUUUUGGAGCCAUGAGCUGUGCAGUCUGGUGUUAGCGGAGUGAUAAUGCCAGAACUCCUUUGGCUGCCCCAGCUGGUGUCUCAGUAUGUUGCCUGCCCUCCCCACCCCAGUCCACUGUCCCUGGGCCCCAUUCAGCCCUAGGCCUCACCUAAGAGUUACAGUCCUGAUGGCCUAGGCUGCCUUUCAAGUUUUCUUAGACACACAGAGUGCGGGAGCCCUUAGUUGCCAGGUUUCCAAACACUGAAGUUCCAACCACUGGAAUCUGAUUCUCCUCUGGCUAGGGCUGGCUUAAUUGAUCACUCUGUGGAUCAGCAUUAACUGCACUUGGUCUGGUUUUCCUUUCUGCUCUAACAGGACAGCACUGAGUUCAGUGCCUCACAAUUGCUGUGUUCUCUCUCCCGCAGAACCCAGAGUUGAUCUCUGCAGCAUGCCAUCACUGCUGGGGAUGAGGAAACGGUGAUUUCAGGACUGUUUUUUCUGUCUCUUCAGUGCCUCUUUCAGUGAUCUGAGGUUAAAACCAGAGGGACAAUCAGUGGAGCCUUCUUUCUGCCGUCUUGCUUUACUCUCACGCCCAAGAAUCAGAAUUCAGAACUUUUAAUAAGAAAAGCUUUCAGAACUCAGGAAGGACAAGGAAGACAUUCUGGUUCUCCAUGCUUAACAUUGGACUGUUUCUUCAACUGAGGUGCAUAGCACUGACUAAUCAGGGAUUAUCAUAGAUAGUUUGACUUGGACUACGCCGUUCAUUCAAAUUCUUUAUCUAGACAAUUUAAGUACUAGCUGAUUUGGCAUGAAAAUCUGGCAAAGUAUUUUCUUGGUAUUCAAUUGAUUUUUAUUCUGCUUGGGUUAGCAGUUUUAUUAACCAGUUAGUCUCUUCAUUAAAGUUCUGGGAAUUCUUACCCAGUUCAAAUAAUAUCAUUCUAAAGUUCUCAAAAACCUGUAUUCAAGAGUGCUUCUGAGGGCCUUCUCCAUCCUUUCAUGAACCUCCUUAAAGAUACAAUAUUCCAGGAUUUUGCAAGCUUGUAAAGUUUUCAGAAACUGCCUCAGAAUUAAGCAAUUUACUGUGGAAAUGACUUUAAGUUGUCAUAGUCAGACACAAUUGACAAGAAAAUUUUAUUUAUUUAUAGGCAUGAGCCACAGCGCCUGGCCUCUAAAGCUAAUUUAAUAAAACUUUAUAAAUGC